rnacentral:rRNA from 1 species
GACGAACCGUGCAAGCGUUGUUCGGAAUCACUGGGCUUAAAGGGCGCGUAGGCGGCCGGCCAAGUCCGGGGUGAAAGCCCCCGGCUCAACCGGGGAAGGGCCUUGGAAACUGGCUUGCUCGAGUGAGGUAGGGGUCGAGGGAACUUCUGGUGGAGCGGUGAAAUGCGUUGAUAUCAGAAGGAACGCCGGUGGCGAAAGCGCUCGACUGGACCGUUUCUGACGCUGAGGCGCGAAAGCUAGGGGAGCAAACGGG